UUUAAGUCAAAAGCCGUUCAACGAGUAACUCCAGAACGUUUUUUUUUUUUUUUUUUUUUGGCCUUUUCUCUCUGAAAGAAGCAGGUUUCCGUGAAUAGUUCCACCGUGCACAUUACCGGGUGGAUGGUGCAGGGUGGGCGGUGUUGGCGGUGCGGCAGCGGGUCCCUCUGCGCGGUCACACAGGCAGGGAGCAGCAGGGAUCCGAGCCCUGAACCCCGCCUGGCACUGCCUUCUGCAGCUGGAGCUGAAAUAACGAAAGGUGUUAGCAGGAAUUUUGGGCUCCCUGAGGGGUCAGCUGCCGAGGAGACCUCCUGUAUGCAGGCAGCGUUGUCAGACGGAUUUCUCAUCACCCCCACUUCUCCCCACAUGACAGUAGCAGAGAUGGAGGCCGAAGGCCUUUGGAAGCUUCAAGAUCCUUGGCACAGCUGCCAUGUGCCCCGUCCGGCUUCCAGCUGCCCAGAAGAAAUGCUUGUGAGGGCUAGGUGAAGACAAAGGUGAAAAAGAGGUGGCUAGGUGAGCACCUUCCUAGUCUUCUCGGUGUUUUUGAGUGGUGUGUAUGGCAGCUUCACCUCCUCUGAUCAAUUAAUUGCCCAUCUGGAAGACGCUAAAGCAAUUCCCCCGUCAUGUUUGACUUUGUUUUAAAGGGAAGAGCCGAUGAAGCACAGGAAGAAAGGAGCUAGAAGAACACAGGAAGAAAACGUGUGAACACAAAUCUUAUGUGAAGCUGUGCUGAGUUCUCUUCCUAUCCUCCCAAAAGAUUGGGCAGGAACAGAUGGCAACCCCUUCUGCUCUGCUUACAGGCCCUGUUCACCAUGCUUAAAAGAGCCUGUAGCUGUGUCCGAAAAUAUAAGGAAGACAGGACAUAGUGGAAAAUCCCGAGCUUUUAGCAUAAAAAGAGUUUAAAAUACAUGCACAAAGGACUCCUCAGUGUGCAGAGCUCACAGAAGUGGCUUGGGUCUUUGCUAUAAAGGAACAGCAAACAGUAGGAACCAGUUCUUUCAAAUUAUUUUUCAGCAGUCAUAGGUACUUCACUUUCAUUCCUUUCUUGUUUACAGGACUCCCUUCACGGCUCCUCUACAAUUCUUUAAAGGCCUGAAGCGUUGGACUGUAUUACUCUCCUUUCCAGGACUGUGUAGAAGACAGACCAAACUGGAACGUGAGGCAUCUUCUCUCUCCUCUUAAUACUUCUUUAUUAUGCAAGUAUGGUGAUCAUUGUCUGCAGUAACAGUGGAACAAUUCUGUAGCUGCCCUGCAAAUUAGAAGAAAAUGGUAUAUUUCCCCAGUCCAGCUAUCAUCAUAGCUCAUCUUCAAAAUUGUGUACCACAGGGUUUGUUGAAACACUCAUUUUAUUCUUCUUGCUUGGCUCAUACCUUAGUGUGAUUCCUGAGUUUUACACCCAGCAAUAAACAUGAGCGGAGUAUAUGAGUUGAUUUUGAUUUACCUGCAGGUAUUAAAAGGAACUUUCACUCCUUCCUCCAAGUUUCCUGACAGCUUUUAAAUUCAGUGUAAUGAAAUCUCCCUCCAGCCAUUAAUCAACCACCAUAAAGCUCAAGAACUUCACCUGUUAAAAAAAAAAAAAAAACAUCCUUUACUGUGAUCUGCUAAUACAUUGUUACAGCACUUUUCCUUAACAGAAGUCUCUGGCUUUGAGACAUCAGCUCUUGUUUGCAGCGACUGCCCCCCACCCUGAUCAGCGAGCUUGCGGCCUUGCUGAGCUGAGGGUAGUGCAAGGCAAGUGCAUGCGAAAUCCACCCUUUUUACUGGCAGAGCUAAGGAUGAUGAUCGUGUCUGCACUCUGAGCUAGCCUGAGAUCCGUCAUCUGCUCCCAAUAGCAGGAGAUGAGCAACUCCCAGUGAGCAACUGUCAGAUACGUAAUGCAGCUCAGCACAAUUGCAGCUCGGAUCCUGGUGGCUGGCUUAAUAACUUCCCUGUAGUUUUUCUUUCUCUCUUCCUCUCUGUCUCCCCUGCGCCCCCAUCCAGCACGGAACAGCCUGAAGGAAUAGGCACGGACUGCACUUUGGUUCCUGUUGGGGUUGUGCUGGGACUCGCUCGACCAGAUCCUUGCUACAGCUCUGGGGCGUGCCACUUGCUCUGCUGCUGCCCUCCCGUAGGGUCAAAGAGCCACAUCCCAUCAAAGGUCAGCCUUCAUCUGGCAGAUGUUUUCAGAACCAGGGCUUCGCUGCUGCUUCAAACUGUCUCUGGCAUUAGUGCUUCUUCAAUUGUCUGUUUCUGUGUGGUUUUGCUAGUUUAUAUUAAAAAUAAAAAAAGGGGGGGGGGGGGUAGUCUUCAUGCAUCAGCAUUCCCAAAGGCUUCUUGCUCCACCUCAUAAAGCAAGAUUGAGAACAUGCGUAUCUUGAUCGGCCUGAUUUUUGUCGUCAGGAUUAUUUAUAUCUGCUUCAGGCCAACUAGAGCCACUGGCGUGGUGACCUAUAUUGUUUUUACAGGAAAACGAGAAUAUGUUUAACAAAUACAGAACCCUAACAAACCGAUAAGCAAAAUGAAAUGGAACACAUGGCGAACUGUCGUGAGAAGACGGAUGAAAACCAUCAGAUUGUUUUUUAAAACUACAUAUGCAAUUGACUACUGCUUGUGUAGGUGAUGCAUCAACAAGACAACCUGCAGCCUGUCUAGUUGUUUCACCUCAGAGACAAGUCUAAAAAUAAAUCUUAAUUUUUGAAUCCAUCCUAGUAAGUAAAGAUAAUCAAAUUUCUAUAAGAUCUUAGGAAUAUCUAGAAUUUAGCACAGACCGCCAAGUUAUUCUAAUUGGUAUUUUCCUGGCUACCCUAUUAUUACAUUCAAUUAAGGACUCUUCCCAUGGUAUGUUAAGGUGGCACAAAUAAAUGGUAUCAGCGCGUCAUGUGGAUAUCUACCACUUUAUUCAUGCUUGUCAACAAAGUCACACUCCUCGCAAAGAAGCAGGAGUUUCUAAUUUCUUCUAUGAGAACUAAUUAUUUUUAUUUUUUUUUCUUUUUGUUAGUAUUUAGUUAAAAUGCUGCCAGCACAGUAGUGCCUGAAGCCCUACCCUUGUUUGGUGCCUCGGUGCCUUGUAAGUAUGUACAAGAACCCAGCAGCUCCUGCCCAGGGAGGAGACAUUAAACGUGGAGCAGCACAUCCGCAUCCUGCCUCUUAAAACCAAUCAUCAUUGCAUAAAUAUUGACUCUGUAGAUUACAACCUGAAGUAGAGACAUUUAUUUAAGUUCCUUUGAUCCAUUUUCUUUCAAUACUUGUUUGCAACAAAUAAAUAUUGGAGGAUGUGUGUGUACCACUUUUUUGGGAAGGUACCAGAGUACUUCAAGCCCUCCAUGAAAUUUGAUGAAAAAUAUGUGUCUCAGCUUCAGACCUACUAUUUUCUCAGCUGAUAGGAUAUUUUUGUGCAUUUUAAGAGGGCUAGAAUUGAGUUUAUUUGAACUCAUAACUAUAGACUUGGUUUUCAGCGUUUGCUGUAACUGCAUACAUGCAGUGCUGACCAGCUUUGUUCAGUUAGAUUUUUUUGGCCUUGAAUUUUCUCAUAUCUAUUUAAAAAUGAAACCAAAUAUCUUCAUUUAAAAUACUUUCACAAUAAUUUCAAUAAGACAAGUAGCUGUUUGAAGACUCAAAACCUACAGCACAGUUAUUAAGGCUUUCUGGGAAAAUACUUGCUACUGCUGGAGCAGCUCUUUCACAGAGGUCAUGGCAUGGAGCCAGGGGAGGUUGGUAGAUGGCUAGGCAACCAGGAAAAGAACAAGUUUGUCAGCAUGUACAGCUGAUUACUGUGAGAAUAAUUUUCCAUAAGCAUAGCCUGCACAGUGUUUGCUUAAGAGGGGUUUAAUUUUUCACUAAAGUCCCUAUCAGCUAAGUCGUUUUAAACUGUGGCAGAAAGUCAUUUGUUCAAAUCAGAUGAAAGAAGGAGCAGUAUGGCUUUUAAUAACAUCAUGUUGCGGUAGGAUGAGGUAGGAUAUUUCAAUAUUUAUAGGCAGUAUGGGAUCAUUCCCAUAAUGGUACAUUAUGACGAUUAUUUUGGUUAGGGAAAUGUUUUGGUUUCUAUUAGCUACAGUGAUCAUUUCUAAAAUGUCUCAAAACUAGAAAAUGUGAGAAAUGUUACCCUUAGCGUGAGAAGAUACCGCCUUUAGUCACUGCAUUCUCCUGCUUGCAAAUGCCAUCUCGAUUGCCAGCAUGUAAUCAUAAGAAAUAAAUACAUUUUAUUUUCUAGGUGCAUGGUUACAACUGCAGCAUAACUCAGAUGGGUCAGUUUUAUGGUGCUCUGUCACCCACAAUGUCUAACCAGGUAUAACUGAACUGCACUUCAAACGUCUGAAGCAGAUGUAGGUGCAUUCAGCUGCUGCACUGUGUCCGUAUUUCUUUCUUUGGCCAACUCCAUGUCCAAGGUCAAGACUGAAAGAGAGCAUUACACAGAUCUCUGUCAUAUGGAGACUUCCUUUCUGCUGAACUAAUCCCUUGUUAGCAGCAUGGCUAAGGUAUGGUAUAAAGCAGAUUGACUGGAAUAAAUGCAUGAACACUAAACUUUAAAAGCAAAAGACAAAAUCAAUUCAUAUUUACACUGUAAAGUGUUUUUGACAGAAUAAUAACCCACUCCAGUUUUUAAUCUUGUUCUUGAAUAUACAGAAUGUUUGCCGAAGUCUCUAUAAUCAUGUGUGUUUUACUUCAGAAGUGCUGCAAUCCAUAACCUACAGCCUGCUUAAUUUUGCAACAUGAGCUGUCUUUAUCCAUUAUUUAUUGUCUUUGAAUAUGAGGAGGAUCAGAACAUCAGACAGAAGGAACACGGUGGCUUUGAGGAUGAGUCACAGGAGCAAGACGAAAUUCAGUAGGAAAAAGUGCCGUGGUUAAGUGUCUCAGCUGAGAACAACUGAGCGUGGUGGGGAGCUGCCAUAGCAAUGUAGCCUUGGGAAGCUGAAUGCAAGUCCUGGGGCUUCAGGGAGAGAGAUUCCUGCUAAAGCCAGGAAGCUGUUGGUGCCAUUAUAAUGGCCUAAUGCACCUGGAGAUAUUGUGUAUGGAAUUAAUAAUUAAAUUGGAAAUAAUGUGUGUGAUUCUGCCUGCCUGUUUUCAAGCAGGUGAAUUUGGAUUGGAAGCAGUUCAGAAGAAAGAUGCUUGGGAGAACAGGGAAGAGAAGAUGAGGUAUCAUGGCAAAACAGAAAACAAAAGGCCUGAGAAAAGAUAGAGCUGUUUAAUCAUAGCGUACUUCCUGAUCGUUGAAUAUAUAUAAUUUCUGUUGAAGACACAUAAUUUCUGGGGCUACAUGUAAUUUCUAAACAAUCCACAAUGUCUGCACCCUGAUAUAUCAGAUGAUAAUAGAAUUUAUGAGAAAUACAUCAUGUUAUACAUGAUACGAUAUAAACUCUUUAAAGAAAAGGACAGCAUUGGUUCAAGAAAAAUGUUUAAAAAUUAUUAAUAAACACAUUUAGACAGAAAUUCACAAACUCCUACUAAUCAUGAGGGUAGUCUGUAACAUUUCUCCAGCAGGAUUAAGUGGGGGCAAUAAAAAUCAAACUGCUUUUAAGCAGGAGCUUGAUAUAUUUAUUAAAGGGAUUCUAUAAGGUGUUGCUUUAUGCACCAAAGGACAGCAAUGAUUCAGAAAUUCCCUUUAUGUUUUCUGUUUGUAUUUGGUUUUCAUGCAUCUAAAAAUUCAUAUAAAACCAGUCACUGUUACAGAAGGAAUUCAGAAUCCUCUGUCUUAAAAUGUAUAAAAAUAAUAAAUGAUUUGGGGUCUGGUGGAGAGCAGUAGCUUCUAAACAAGUCUGUCAAAUCAUGAUUUAAGUCUUGUUUAGUCUGCAGUGGAGAAAUUGCUUUGAAUAGAAAAUACACAAUAAAAUAUGUCUAACAGGUCCUGA